rnacentral:lncRNA from 1 species
ACUUUAUCCUAUACUCAGCAUCUUCUGGCCUGGACUGCAGAUGGCAGGUAUUUAACACUGUUUGACAGGAGUGGAUGCCUACCAGACGGUUCACCUCUUCAGAACAGAGCCCAUUUUACUUCAUUACUCAAACAACUUCAUUGGAUUGCAGUUCAACUCUGAGCCACAUUUCAGAUUUUGUGGUCAUCAUAUAAUCUCCCUGCAUGGUUGCAUCUUGUUCUCUAGAAAAUAUCCUGGAAGCAGGCAUAUGAUUGCAGAAGAUAGACAUACAGAAGAUUGCAGAGCAAUGGGAGAUCCCACUGAAUGAAUGAAAACUUCAGUAACGCAGCCUUUGAACUCACCUUCUCAGUUCACAAUUAAAUUAAAAAACAAGCCUUUGAAAGAGAUGGCAUCUGAUUGGUGGAGGCCGUAGGCCAGGAAAGCAAACUGAUCAGCCUGCUAAAGAACUUUAUGACUGGCAGCAACAGUUCAGCCUGGGCUGCGUGGAAGAUAUGAA